CCUACGGGGGGCAGCAGUGGGGAAUAUUGCACAAUGGGCGCAAGCCUGAUGCAGCCAUGCCGCGUGUGUGAAGAAGGCCUUCGGGUUGUAAAGCACUUUCAGCGGGGAGGAAGGCGGUGAGGUUAAUAACCUCAUCGAUUGACGUUACCCGCAGAAGAAGCACCGGCUAACUCCGUGCCAGCAGCCGCGGUAAUACGGAGGGUGCAAGCGUUAAUCGGAAUUACUGGGCGUAAAGCGCACGCAGGCGGUCUGUCAAGUCGGAUGUGAAAUCCCCGGGCUCAACCUGGGAACUGCAUUCGAACUGGCAGGCUAGAGUCUUGUAGAGGGGGGUAGAAUUCCAGGUGUAGCGGUGAAAUGCGUAGAGAUCUGGAGGAAUACCGAUGGCGAAGGCAGCCCCCUGGACAAAGACUGACGCUCAGGUGCGAAAGCGUGGGGAGCAAACAGGAUUAGAUACCCCAGUAGUC
rnacentral:rRNA from 1 species